rnacentral:misc_RNA from 1 species
GAUGAAGAACGUAGCGAAAUGCGAUACUUGGUGUGAAUUGCAGAAUCCCGCGAAUCAUCGAGUUUUUGAACGCAAGUUGCGCCCAAAGCCAUUCGGCCGAGGGCACGUCUGCCUGGGUGUCACGCAUCGUUGCCCCCCCAAACUCCGGUUCGGGCGGGGCGGAAGUUGGCCUCCCGUGCGUGCCUGCGCGCGCGGUUAGCCCAAAAGCGAGUCCUCGGCGACGAGCGCCACGACAAUCGGUGGUUUUUUUACCCUCGUUCCUCGUCGUGCGUGUCCCGUCGCCCGAACGCGCUCUUGUGACCCUCAUGCGUCGCCUCGGCGGCGCUCCCAACGCGACCCCAGGUCAGGCGGGACUACCCGCUGAGUUUAAGCAUAUCAAUAAGCGGAGGA